rnacentral:tRNA from 1 species
GCCUGGGUGGCUCAGUCGGUUGAGCGUCCGACUUCCGCUCAGGUCAUGAUCUCACGGUCUGUGAGUUCGAGUCCCGCAUCAGGCU